ACUCCUACGGGAGGCAGCAGUGGGGAAUAUUGCACAAUGGGGGAAACCCUGAUGCAGCCAUGCCGCGUGUGUGAAGAAGGCCUUCGGGUUGUAAAGCACUUUCAGCAGUGAGGAAAGGUGACAGUUAAUACCUGUUAUCUGUUGACGUUAACUGCAGAAGAAGGACCGGCUAACUCCGUGCCAGCAGCCGCGGUAAUACGGAGGGUCCGAGCGUUAAUCGGAAUUACUGGGCGUAAAGCGCGCGUAGGCGGCUAGGUCAGUCAGAAUGU
rnacentral:rRNA from 1 species